rnacentral:sRNA from 4 species
AUAUCUCUCCGUACGGGAAGGAUGAGAAGCUUCGACUAAGGUUCGAUUCGAGCGCAGCGAGAACGCGUUGCCGCAGGCAACGACCCGAAGGGCGAAGCGCGCA